AGCGAACGCUGGCGGCGUGCCUAACACAUGCAAGUCGCACGAGAAAGGGGCCGCAAGGCCCCCUGUAAAGUGGCGAACGGGUGAGUAACACGUGGGUAACCUGCCCCUGGGUUCGGAAUAAACCUGCCGAAAGGCGGGCUAAUACCGGACGACAACGCGCGGUCCUUGGACUGUGCGUUCAAAGCUGACCUCUUCAUGAAAGUUGGCGCCUGGGGAGGGGCCCGCGGCCCAUUAGCUAGUUGGUGAGGUAACGGCUCACCAAGGCUCCGAUGGGUAGCCGGCCUGAGAGGGCGACCGGCCACAGUGGAACUGAGACACGGUCCACACUCCUACGGGAGGCAGCAGUGAGGAAUCUUGCGCAAUGGGGGAAACCCUGACGCAGCGACGCCGCGUGGACGAUGAAGGCCUU
rnacentral:rRNA from 1 species